rnacentral:rRNA from 1 species
ACACGAGCGGCGAACGGGUGAGUAACACGUGGGUGAUCUGCCCUGCACUUCGGGAUAAGCCUGGGAAACUGGGUCUAAUACCGGAUAUGACCUCCUAUCGCAUGGUGGGUGGUGGAAAGAUUUAUCGGUGCAGGAUGGGCCCGCGGCCUAUCAGCUUGUUGGUGGGGUAAUGGCCUACCAAGGCGACGACGGGUAGCCGACCUGAGAGGGUGACCGGCCACACUGGGACUGAGACACGGCCCAGACUCCUACGGGAGGCAGCAGUGGGGAAUUUUCCGCAAUGGGCGAAAGCCUGACGGAGCAAUGCCGCGUGAAGGUAGAAGGCCUACGGGUCAUGAACUUCUUUUCCCGGAGAAGAAGCAAUGACGGUAUCCGGGGAAUAAGCAUCGGCUAACUCUGUGCCAGCAGCCGCGGUAAG